rnacentral:rRNA from 1 species
GAUGAACGCUAGCGGCAGGCCUAACACAUGCAAGUCGAGGGGUAGAAGGAGCUUGCUCCUUUGAGACCGGCGCACGGGUGCGUAACGCGUAUGCAAUCUACCUUGUACAGGGGAAUAGCCCAGAGAAAUUUGGAUUAAUGCCCCAUAGUAUAUAACCUUCGCAUGUUGGUUAUAUUAAAGUUCCAACGGUACAAGAUGAGCAUGCGUCCCAUUAGUUAGUUGGUAAGGUAACGGCUUACCAAGACGAUGAUGGGUAGGGGUCCUGGGAGGGAGAUCCCCCACAUUGGUACUGGGACACGGACCAGGCUCCUACGGGAGGCAGCAGUGAGGAAUAUUGGUCAAUGGUCGCAAGACUGAACCAGCCAUGCCGCGUGCAGGAAAACAGUCCUGUGGAUUGUAAACUGCUUUUAUACAGGAAGAGACCCUCCCACGUGUGGGAGCUUGACGGUACUGUAGGAAUAAGGAUCGGCUAACUCCGUG